GGAAGACGGCAAAUACAAACCGCAGCCAAGCCAUUUGUAAACCUGGAUUGCUGACAGAAAUCCAGGAAGCAGCAGAAAAACAACCAAACACAAAAACACAGUGAAGAGCCUGGAUUCUAAGCUGCGUGUUAUGGGCUGAAUUGUGUUCGCCCAAAAUUUGUAUGUCGAAGCUCUAACCUCCAGGACGUCAACGUGACUGUGUUUGGAGACAGAGUCUUUACAGACGUAACUAAGUUAAAUGAGGUCUCUGGGGGGCGGAGGAGCCCUGGUCCAGUGUGAGGGGUGUCUCUUUAAGAAGAGGAAAUGAGGACACAGACACACAGAGAAGACCAUAGGGAGUGACAGGGAGGAGACGGCCGGCCGUGCAAACCGAGGAGAGAGGCCCCGGGGGAACCCAGCCCUGCCCACGCCUGGCUGUCGGACUCUGGCCGCCGGAGCAGCGAGGACAUCAGUGUCUGCUGUUGAAGCCCCGGCCGCGCUGCCCGCUCCGCCCGGCGGGGCCCGGCGCCCCACGCCACCUGCCGCCCCAGCUCCGCCGCGGGGGCCUCGCCGCGCCGCCUCCCUCCGGGCUGCCCCUUCUUCACCGAGGGCGACGCCCCCCGGGACUUGGGGUCACACUGCGCCUGCUCUAGCGUCACAGGAGCACUGUUGGCUGGAAGCCUCUGUCCCCGUGUCCCUCCUCGCCCUGGACGUGGCUCCCUGCGGCGGCCCCGCAUCUUCGCCUUCUCCGCGCGCGGGCGCCGGGCGCACCGAGGGCGCUCACGGGGCUCGUGGGUGCAGCGCGGAACGGGAACGGGACGGUGUAGCGAGCAUCACCCAAGUACAACUCUGGGAAAGUACGAGCUUGAACUGCUACAGCGAUCGUGUGGGAAGGGGGUGACCUCCCUCAGAUGUUUGACCGCCGCCGGGUCCACGCCAUCUUCACUCAGCACACGCUUGCUGAAUGCCUGUCUGCGCUGGGCACUGGGGAGAGUGAACAAGACUCUUCUGUGAGGCCCUCAUUCUUGUGAGAGGAGACAACGAACGGGAAAGUACCAGAUAGUACCAUGAGUGUGCAAUGAAAUACUUGAUGUAGGUUAUGGGAUAGACAGUAGUCGGGGCUCCUUUAGACUGAGUGCUCUGGGAUGCCCCAUCUGAGGAGCUGGCAUUGGAGCUGCACCCUGAUGACAAGAUGCAGACACAUGGAAAUCGUAAGGAAGAGCAUUCCAGAAGGAGGGAAUAGAAAGUGCAGAGGCCCAUGCAAGAACACGGGAACAGAAGGGAGGCCAGUGUGGCUCGGGUGUAGCAGGCGCCAGGGAGUUAAGUGUGGGCAGGCGGAGGGCAGGUGACGUCCCGUCAUGGUGAGCGGAUCGUGACAUAAGAUCAAAUGAGGUUUUUAUUCCAGAUGUGGUGGAAAGUCACUUAAGGGUUUUAAAAAGAGGAGCGGCACGAUCUGACUCGUAUUUUUAAAAAGAUCAUCUGGCUCCUGCAUGGAGAAUGGAUGGGGGUGGGAUGGUGAGGGCAAGGGAGAAAACAAGGAGCCCAACUAUGAGGCUGCAGGAAUCCAGGCCCCAGAAGGUAGCGCUUGCAGAGGAUCUGGUGAGAACUGGGCAGAUUCAGGGUGAGCUUUGCGAGUGGAGUCCAUAAACCGUGAGGGUGUGGGAAAGGAGGACGCAGGGUGAUUUUCAGGUUUGUGGCUUGAGCAGCUGGCUGGAUGCUGGGGCCAUUUACUGAGAACCAGCCUAGGAGAGCAAUGUUUCGGGGGUGAUGGUGGGGUGGGGUAUCUAGAGUUCUUUUUAAAUUUCAGAUGCCUUUUCUGCAUCCAAGAGGCAAUGUCUUGUGAACAGAUAGAAACAGGAGUCUGGGAAUCAGAGAAAAGGUGGGACCUGGGUAACUAUGCCCAUCCUUCUGUCUACACAUCCAUCUGUCUCUCUUUCAGUGUCAAGGUCAUGGAUGCUGUUUAAGCCAGGAGAGAUGAAGAAGAUGCCGAGGCUGACCUUUGUGGUACUCCAAAUUUUAGUGAUCUUCACAUUAGAGAUGUCCAGCCAAGGUGACAGAAAAGGAGCAGCCAGAAAGGCAGGAGAAAGAUCAAAGUAACCGAUGUCAUGGAAGCCAAGAGAAGAGAUGCUUCAGGAGGAAGGAAGAGUUGAAGUGUUACCGAAGAGCCAAGAACAUUAGCCCUGAGCUAACAUCUGCUGCCAAUCUCCCUCUUUUUGCUGAGGAAGACUGGAACUGAGCUAACAUGCGUGCCCAUCUUCCUCUACUUUAUAUGUGGGACGCCUGCUACAGCAUGGCUUGACAAGUGCCACAGUCACUGAGGAGGAGAGAAAGGGAGCCUGGAAGAUCCUGGAGGAUAAAAGUGCUUUUCCAAGAGGCAUUUGGACCAUUAAACUAUGAUGGGAUGGAUUUAGGCUCUGAGAAAAGGUAGGAGGAUUGCACCUUUAGUCCCCAUCCCAUAAUUUAAAUUCCCGGUGCGCCCCACAGCCCAGGGUGUAGCUCUGGAGCAGCAACUCUAAUUACAGCCCUGCAGGGAAUGCCGUCAUUCUGCAUCCCAUCUCCCUCUCUACCACCUGCAGUCCACCACUCCCCACCCACCGAACCUCUGCGGCCCAGCCCAGCCCAGCCCGAAGCCGUGUCUCCAUGGCUCUGCCAAGGCCGAAAGCCAGGUUACACGACCAUUCUGUUCCAGGAGCAUUGUCUUAAACCACAAUGGGAUUCCUUCACAUCUACAGGUUUUCUGCUUGUCUAGACUAUAAGAAUCUAUGUUAAUUAGGUGGAUCUAUUUGUACCGACAUGAAAAGAUGUCCAAGAUACAUUAAGUGAAAAAAAUUUGCAAAACUGUGUCCAUAAUAUAACAUUUUGUUAAAAUAUUUAUAUUUACAUACAUAUUAAUUCAUGGAACCUGAUGUUAAAAUUGAAGUUUCAGUGAAAUUGACAAGGUAUGUUAGAUACCAGACAGCACAUGAAGGGUGACACAGGUUACCCUGGAGGAAUCUUUAAAGGAAAUCUUGAAAACUGGCUCUGGGACCCUUGAAUCCUCUGACCCAGAGGAUUUCUUGAAUAUAACAAAGUGGAGAUAGAGGGUUUUGUGUGGAAAUUUCUUUGAAGAGUUCUGCUACCGCGGGCCAGGAGCUGGGAAGUGCGAGGUCCUGUAUCUGAAGCCCCGAGAGGAUGGGCUCCUACCGACAAUUAGAGAGCUUGGUUUGUGUUUCUUGGAGUUGAGAGACACCAGGGAUUAGUGCCUGAUUCAUGCCUCAGGAAGCAAAAGGGGCUUGUGACAGGGCAGAGAGAGUGGAGGGCUGUGUUUGAGAAGUAACUGUGCUCCCGUCUAUCCAUGGGCAUGACUGUUCUCACAGAUCCUGGGCCACAAGGGAGAGAGAGCCAGCCUGCAGGACCUAAGGUCCAUUUUAAGUCCAAAAGGAGUGCUGGGGAGGGCCAGUGAACUCCUUCAGUGAGAAUCGGAGUGAGGAGUGGGUCCUCAGAGAGCUGAGGGCUGAAAUGGGCUUUAGUCAGUAAAGGAGAGGCAUCACCCAGGCCUGAGGGCCUAGCAGGGGACCUCCAAGAUGCCUCAGAAACAGCCUGGAGAGGGGUAUGACCCUCAGCAUUUGUGGCCCAGAGAGCAGCAGUCAGCAGCCAAGGAAGGAGGUCUGUCUGUCCUCUCACCUCACUUCCCCAACCCCUUGACUCUGCCAAGUGAGCAAGUGGGGAAGAGGGGAAAAGAGAAAGAAAACCAGACCCCACUACCUUCAGGAGAGGAAAAGUCUCUCCUUUAACGAAGUCUGAAUUGAUGAAUAAAACCUUGGACUGGAUACCUACUUUCUGAUUCAAUGCUGUAUUUUGCAAUUGCAUAACAGUCUACUAUCUAAAAACUGAGGAAGAAAAUUGAGGAGACUGCCAAGUUUUCAGCCAGUGGUAGGGGAAAAUCUCCCUACUGAAUAAACUUUAAAGGGGUAGAGGGAAACAAAAAUACAGUGGGGGUUUCUAUGACACUCCUUUAUUGUGCUUUGGAGAGACUAGUUUCUCAUAAACAAGGUAGGAUGUCAGAAGGAGGAUGCAUCACUUUGGUUAUCUCUGAGGGGCGGGGACGUGGGAGUUGUUCAUUUUUUCUCUUAUCUACUUCCAUUAUGUUUGAAUUAUGUAAACAGAGCAUGGUUACUUUUGUAAUCAGAAAAGCUAUGAUGAUAAAUGUGCCCAUCCAAAAUAUAAGGGGAAAAAUCAACACCACGUGUAAAAUAUUAUUGGCUAGAAAGAGAGCAAGCUGAAAAAUGAAAUAAUCAUCGUUGCUAACAUUUGUAGAAUGCGUUACAUUUUACAAAACAUUUUCACUUUAAUGAUCUCAUUUGAUUGUUACAGCAACUCUGGAGUUAGGUUUUGAAUUAUUCACAGUGUGCAGAUGUAGAAACAGAGUGUCAUAAUUGUUGGUUACUUUGCUUAGCUGACAACACUUGCUGGUGAAGAGAAGGCUUGAGUUUGUCUUCUGGCCAUGAGUCCCAUAUUCUUCCUAUUUCACAAUACCCACUGCUGGACAGCAAGGACGUUUUGUUGUCAGGAGGUAUUCGCUCGCCCACUCCCAAUGGACCGCACUUGGAGCCCUACUGGGCCUGACAUGAUAAAGCCACAUUAACGCAGCCUGCAUUGACAGUACUGUUCCGAACAAUAUUCCACUUCCCUCUCUAAGCAUGCAAUCUCUAUAUGCUUAACACCUCACCUUUCUCCUCACCUUCCAACUGAUAUUCUUGCUGAGUUCCAUACCUGUUGAUGACCCAAUUGUUUUUCCAGUAUCACAGUCCUAACUUCAUUUUUCUUUGAUUUCUCCUUCUCAUUUUAUUCCAUACUUGGUCAUUUUUAAGUCUUUUUUUUUCCGAGGAAGAUUAGCCCUGAGCUAACAUCUGCCAAUACUCCUCUUUUUGCUGAGGAAGACUGGCCCUGAGCUAACAUCCAUGCCCAUCUUCCUCCACUUUGUAUGGGGGACGCCUGCCACAGCAUGGCUUACCAUGUGGUGCCAUGUCCACACCCAGGAUCCAAACCGUGAACCCGGGCCCCCAGGAAGCAGAACAUGUGCACUUAACCGCUGCGCCACCAGUCCAGCCCCUUAAGUCUUUUUGAUUGUCUCCUAGAGGAGCUCACAGGUCUGUCCAUAACCCAUUUCCAUGGGCUGGAUCCUCCCCACUUGGUUCAGACAUGUAAUUUUCUAAGCAGCUCGUUGCCAAUCAUCCAUUUUUUAAAUUACCCUUUUCUGGAAGCUUCGUCUGACCACAGAGGUUUCUAGCCUUUGUGUUCCGAUGGUACACUGCACAGCGUGUUAUAAUGGCCUGUUUACAUCACUCUCCAGCCCCUCGCUCCCA
rnacentral:lncRNA from 1 species